GACGAACGCUGGCGGCGUGCUUAACACAUGCAAGUCGAACGGAAAGGCCCUGCUUUUGUGUGGUGCUCGAGUGGCGAACGGGUGAGUAACACGUGAGUAACCUGCCCUUGACUUUGGGAUAACUUCAGGUAACUGGGGCUAAUACCUGAUAGGAGCUCCUGCUGCAUGGUGGGGGUUGGAAAGUUUCGGCGGUUGGGGAUGGACUCGCGGCUUAUCAGCUUGUUGGUGGGGUAGUGGCUUACCAAGGCUUUGACGGGUAGCCGGCCUGAGAGGGUGACCGGGGACAAUGGGACUGAGAUACGGCCCAGACUCCUACGGGAGGCAGCAGUGGGGAGUAUUGCACAGUGGGCGGAAGCGUGAUGCAGAAACGCCGCGUGCGGGAUGACGGCCUGCGGGUUGUAAACAGCUUUCGCCUGAGACGAAGCGUGAGUGACGGUAAUGGGAAAAGAAGCACCGGCUAACUACGUG
rnacentral:rRNA from 1 species